GUCUGUGGCCACAACAAUUUGAACAUGCCUGAUUGAGCCUGAUCUCAGCAGGUAGGCAAAGUUGAGUUUGGUGAGACUUAUAUGAGGGAGAAGACAAUCAGUAGACACAGGGU
rnacentral:rRNA from 1 species